rnacentral:rRNA from 1 species
GUGGGGAAUAUUGGACAAUGGGCGAAAGCCUGAUCCAGCCAUGCCGCGUGUGUGAAGAAGGUCUUCGGAUUGUAAAGCACUUUAAGUUGGGAGGAAGGGCAGUAAGUUAAUACCUUGCUGUUUUGACGUUACCGACAGAAUAAGCACCGGCUAACUUCGUGCCAGCAGCCGCGGUAAUACGAAGGGUGCAAGCGUUAAUCGGAAUUACUGGGCGUAAAGCGCGCGUAGGUGGUUUUGUAAGUUGGAGGUGAAAUCCCCGGGCUCAACCUGGGAACUGACUACAAAACUGCAUGACUAGAGUACGGUAGAGGGUAGUGGAAUGUCCUGUGUAGCGGUGAAAUGCGUAGAUAUAGGAAGGAACACCAGUGGCGAAGGCGACUACCUGGACUGAUACUGACACUGAGGUGCGAAAGCGUGGGGAGCAAACAGGAUUAGAAACCCCGGUAGUCC